CUGCGUCCGAAACCGCCUACUUCUCUACUAUUUAGUAGGGGAAAAGCAGUAGGCGAGCGAAUAAGUAUGUCAGAAGCAAAAAGAGUAGGCGAAAAUUACCUGGGUGACGUACUAAUUCUCGCGAGAUUCGGCCGUGCGCCUACUUAAAGUGCGUCCGAAACCACCUACUUACCUAAUAUAUAAUAGGGGAAAAGCAGUAGGUGAGCGAAUAAUUAUGCCAGAAAAGUAAUCAUAAAUAAGUAGUCGAGAAGUUCCCGGAUGGCCUACUGCUUCCGCCCAGAUUCUGAAGUAUUCCUCGCUGGAUACUUUUCUAUCCCACGAGGCCACGGGAGAGGAUACGUCAUAUCAAACACGGAGGAGAAAAGCGACGCGGAUGCUGUCAAAUGUGAGUAUUGAAAACCAAAAACACGGUUCUUGUGUUAAAGUCACAUUUGUUGAACUACUGUAGAGUAAACUGCUGAAUGCGUAAAGAUGCUAGACAGUAUAGUUGUGAUUUUACUGUAAAAACAUGUUUUAUUUUGUAUAGAUAACAGGGAGCUCUAGUAAACACAUAACUUAAUUCUCCGAAGAGGAUACAUCUUAAAGAUGCUUACUAAAUGUUUAUUUAACAUCUGACAGGAAAAUAUUAAGAAUAUAUAAAGUAUUAUGACUUAUGAGUGAUGGAUUAUGUUCUAUGAGUGAUAUGUGUGUGAUAUUAUGUAAAAUUCACUGUUGUCAACACUGUUUACAUUACAUGAAUGCAAGUAAUGUAAAUAAACAAAUGUACACUUAACUAGACAGACAUAAGUUAUCUAUUUUAUUUGUCCGUUAGUACUUUUAAUUAAACAAGGAACAUUUGUGUUGGAUAAAAAGUGAGUUAAAACAAAUCUUCAACUACAUCAACAUGUAAAUGUAGAUUUGAGCACAUAAAUCUCAGAGGAAACUUGAAUCUUGUCUGAUGUUACAGGGACAGAAAUGAAUAGUUGUAGUUUAUUUUAUUUUAUUGUAAUUUCAAACAGAGUUAUUACAGUACUUUUCUGAUUCUUGAUGUCUGUGCAUUUGUUGCAGAGCUUUGUGUUGGAGCAGGACCUGUGAGGAAAGAUGACUGUGGCAUUUGUGAAAAAAAAAAGGAAAACCUGAAACAAAAAUAUAAAGUAAGAUUAUUUUGUUACUUCUAAUACAGAAAUCAGAUGACAUUGUGCUGUUAAAAUGACUGCUUUUGUAUUAUGAUUGUGCAUUAUUGUAGGAUGUGAAUGUCCUCAGACUGGUGUGAGCAGUAAGGAUGGAGAACCACAGCAGAUCCUGGGAAUGGUUCAGUGUCAUGGAUGAGACCCUCCAUCACUCCUCCUGCCCUUGCUGCCUCAUCUGGACUGAUGUUGAUGUGAUUUCUUCAUCCUCAGUGAGUCCAGAGCCAGCGAGAGCAUCUAGACAAAGACCAAAGGACAGUGAGGAUGUGAUUUUGGUCAAGAUUGUUCUGCUGGUUUCAGUUCAUACACUGGAGCUUCAAAAGCAUCAUCAAAUAAUGUCAUGAAGCUUCUGGAAGUCAGGCUCCAUUGACUGAUAUUGUAGAAACUAGCUGGACAAACUUGAUCAAAAUCAACUUUUGUGUUCAGAAAACAAAACAAAAAAAUGAACACAGGGAUUGAACAGCAUGAAGGCGAGUGAAUAAUGACUGAAUUUAUUUGUUUGGGUGAAUUAACCCUUUAUGCCCCCAAAUAGAAAUAUGUAUGAAAUGUAUGUAUGAAUUUAUAUUAUAGUAGUACCUUGAAAAAGUAAACUUUAAGAAAUAAACAGCUUGAAUUAGCGUUUGUGCUCGAAACACUAACAAAAAAGGAUUUAAAAAAAAUCGAAUUUACAUUUGGCAGAUGCUGUUAUCCAAAGUUACUAACUGUGCUCUUAUUACAGGGAUGAUCCCGUUGGAGCAACCUGUAGUAACCUGGAGUAAAGUGUCUGGAUCAAGCACACACUGGUGGAGACGCUGCAGAGAUCGAACCAGUAAACCUUCUGCUGACCAGCUCAGUGGUUUAACCCACCACACCACAAAAUCAUGCUGAUGGAGAGCACAUGGAUGUUUGGAUCAGACACAGCAGAGCCAUAUUGUCCUGCACAUCUUCUCCCACUCCUGCUUUAAGGUUGUGGGGUUCAGGGGUCCAUCAUCAUCAUCUUCCUCAUCCUCUGGAUCAACGAUGUCUCCAUUGAGAAGAGCAGCAGUGAGGGACAUGAUGGAUGAAGGUGUUCAUCAGCUGCUUCAUCAGAAUAAAGCUGCAGAAUUGGCACAGCUGUGUGAGAUGACAGCAGGACUGUAAAUACCUGAUUGUUAGAUCAAUACAUUUGAAUAAAGCUUUGUUUCGUGUGUUGUUGA